rnacentral:rRNA from 1 species
GGCGGACGGGUGAGUAAUGCUUGGGAACAUGCCUUGAGGUGGGGGACAACAGUUGGAAACGACUGCUAAUACCGCAUAAUGUCUACGGACCAAAGGGGGCUUCGGCUCUCGCCUUUAGAUUGGCCCAAGUGGGAUUAGCUAGUUGGUGAGGUAAUGGCUCACCAAGGCGACGAUCCCUAGCUGGUUUGAGAGGAUGAUCAGCCACACUGGGACUGAGACACGGCCCAGACUCCUACGGGAGGCAGCAGUGGGGAACAUUGCACAAUGGGCGCAAGCCUGAUGCAGCCAUGCCGCGUGUGUGAAGAAGGCCUUCGGGUUGUAAAGCACUUUCAGUCAGGAGGAAAGGUUAGUAGUUAAUACCUGCUAGCUGUGACGUUACUGACAGAAGAAGCACCGGCUAACUCCGUGCCAGCAGCCGCGGUAAUACGGAGGGUGCGAGCGUUAAUCGGAAUUACUGGGCGUAAAGCGUAC